rnacentral:rRNA from 1 species
ACAGACUCCUACGGGAGGCAGCAGUGAGGAAUAUUGGUAAAUGGCCGAGAGGCUGAACCAGCCAAGUCGCGUGAGGGAAGACGGCACUACGGGUUGUAAACCUCUUUUGUCGGGGAGCAAAGCGAACCACGUGUGGUUCAUUGAGAGUACCCGAAGAAAAAGCAUCGGCUAACUCCGUGCCAGCAGCCGCGGUAAUACGGAGGAUGCGAGCGUUAUCCGGAUUUAUUGGGUUUAAAGGGUGCGUAGGCGGACAGUCAAGUCAGCGGUAAAAAUGCGGUGCUCAACGCCGUACAGCCGUUGAAACUGGCAGUCUUGAGUGGGCGAGAAGUAUGCGGAAUGCGUGGUGUAGCGGUGAAAUGCA